rnacentral:rRNA from 1 species
CCUACGGGAGGCAGCAGUGAGGAAUAUUGGUCAAUGGGCGAGAGCCUGAACCAGCCAAGUCGCGUGAAGGAUGAAGGAUCUAUGGUUUGUAAACUUCUUUUAUAUGGGAAUAAAGUGAGGAACGUGUUCCUUUUUGUAUGUACCAUAUGAAUAAGCAUCGGCUAACUCCGUGCCAGCAGCCGCGGUACUACGGAGGAUUCGAGCGUUAGCCGGAUUUAUUGGGGUUAAAGGGUGCGUAGGGGGUUAAGUAAGUCAGCGGGGAAAGUUUGUGGCUCAACCAUAAAAUUGCCGUUGAAACUGGUUGACUUGAGUAUAUUUGAGGUAGGCGGAAUGCGUGGUGUAGCGGUGAAAUGCAUAGAUAUCACGCAGAACUCCGAUUGCGAAGGCAGCUUACUAAACUAUAACUGACACUGAAGCACGAAAGCGUGGGGAUCAAACAGGAUUAGAUACCCCUGUAGUC